rnacentral:rRNA from 1 species
AGCGAAUGAUGAAGAAGCUUGCUUCUUCUGAUUUAGCGGCGGACGGGUGAGUAACACGUGGGCAACCUACCUAGUAGAUUGGGAUAACUCCGGGAAACCGGGGCUAAUACCGAAUAAUCCAUUUUGUCACAUGGCAAAAUGCUGAAAGGCGGUUUCGGCUGUCACUACUAGAUGGGCCCGCGGUGCAUUAGCUAGUUGGUGGGGUAAUGGCCUACCAAGGCAACGAUGCAUAGCCGACCUGAGAGGGUGAUCGGCCACAUUGGGACUGAGACACGGCCCAAACUCCUACGGGAGGCAGCAGUAGGGAAUCUUCCACAAUGGACGAAAGUCUGAUGGAGCAACGCCGCGUGAGUGAUGAAGGUUUUCGGAUCGUAAAACUCUGUUGUAAGGGAAGAACAAGUACGUUAGUAACUGAACGUACCUUGACGGUACCUUAUUAGAAAGCCACGGCUAACUACGUGCCAGCAGCCGCGGUAAUACGUAGGUGGCAAGCGUUGUCCGGAUUUAUUGGGCGUAAAGCGCGCGCAGGUGGUUUCUUAAGUCUGAUGUGAAAGCCCACGGCUCAACCGUGGAGGGUCAUUGGAAACUGGGAGACUUGAGUGCAGAAGAGGAAAGUGGAAUUCCAAGUGUAGCGGUGAAAUGCGUAGAGAUUUGGAGGAACACCAGUGGCGAAGGCGACUUUCUGGUCUGUAACUGACACUGAGGCGCGAAAGCGUGGGGAGCAAACAGGAUUAGAUACCCUGGUAGUCCACGCCGUAAACGAUGAGUGCUAAGUGUUAGGGGGUUUCCGCCCCUUAGUGCUGCAGCUAACGCAUUAAGCACUCCGCCUGGGGAGUACGGCCG